AUACGGAGGGGGUUAGCGUUGUUCGGAAUUACUGGGCGUAAAGCGCACGUAGGCGGAUUGGAAAGUUGGGGGUGAAAUCCCAGGGCUCAACCCUGGAACUGCCUCCAAAACUAACAGUCUAGAGUUCGAGAGAGGUGAGUGGAAUUCCAAGUGUAGAGGUGAAAUUCGUAGAUAUUUGGAGGAACACCAGUGGCGAAGGCGGCUCACUGGCUCGAUACUGACGCUGAGGUGCGAAAGCGUGGGGAGCAAACAGGAGUAGAAACCCCAGUAGUCC
rnacentral:rRNA from 1 species